GUGUCAGCAGCCGCGGUAAUACGGAGGGGGCAAGCGUUGUUCGGAUUUACUGGGUGUAAAGGGUUCGUAGGCGGCAUUGUAAGUGGGAUGUGAAAUCUCUGAGCUUAACUCAGAAACUGCAUUCCAUACUGCUAAGCUAGAGUACCGCAGAGGUGAAUGGAAUUCUCGGUGUAAGGGUGAAAUCUGCAGAUAUCGAGAAGAACGCCAGUGGUGAAGACGAUUCACUGGGCGGAUACUGACGCUGAGGAACGAAAGCUAGGGGAGCGAACGGGAUUAGAUACCCCAGUAGUCC
rnacentral:rRNA from 1 species